AUUGAACGCUGGCGGCAUGCCUUACACAUGCAAGUCGAACGGCAGCAUGGAGGAGCUUGCUCCUCUGAUGGCGAGUGGCGAACGGGUGAGUAAAGCAUCGGAACGUACCGUGUAGUGGGGGAUAACGUAGCGAAAGUUACGCUAAUACCGCAUACGCACUGAGGUGGAAAGCAGGGGAUCGCAAGACCUUGCGCUAUACGAGCGGCCGAUGUCAGAUUAGCUAGUUGGUAGGGUAAAGGCCUACCAAGGCGACGAUCUGUAGCGGGUCUGAGAGGAUGAUCCGCCACACUGGGACUGAGACACGGCCCAGACUCCUACGGGAGGCAGCAGUGGGGAAUUUUGGACAAUGGGGGAAACCCUGAUCCAGCCAUGCCGCGUGAGUGAAGAAGGCCUCGGUUGUAAGGUACU
rnacentral:rRNA from 1 species